CGGUUUCCUGCUUCAACAGUGCUUGAACGGNAACCG
rfam:Bos taurus mRNA for similar to ferritin H subunit, partial cds, clone: ORCS13217.